ACGACUGUAGCUUAGCGGUAAAGCACAAUACAAUCAACCAAUGAUCUUUGAAUGCCUGUUCGACUCAGGCCAGUCGUA